AGAGUUUGAUCCUGGCUCAGGAUCAACGCUGGCGGCGUGCCUAAUGCAUGUAAGUCGCACGGGUGCCUUCGGGUACCAGUGGCGAACGGCUGAGUAGCACGUACGGACCUGCCCUCCGCUGGGGAAUAACGCACCGAAAGGUGUGCUAAUACCGCGUACGCUUGUGCAAGCAAGGAAAGCAGCGAUGCGGCGGAGGAGGGGCGUGCGCCCCAUCAGCUUGUUGGCGGGGUAAUGGCCCACCAAGGCAGUGACGGGUGGCUGGUCUGUGAGGACGAUCAGCCAGACUGGGACUGAGACACGGCCCAGACACCUACGGGUGGCAGCAGCAAGGAAUCUUCGACAAUGGGCUCACGCCCGAUCGAGCAACGCCGCGUGCAGGAUGACGGCUUUCGGGUUGUAAACUGCUUUGAGGGAGGAUGAUACGGACAGUACUCCCAAAACCAGCCCCGGCUAACUCUGUGCCAGCAGCCGCGGUAAGACAGAGGGGGCAAACGUUGUCCGGAAUGACUGGGCGUACAGCGCGCGCAGGCGGGUGGUGACGUGCCGUGUGACAGCGCACUGCUUAACAGUGCGUGGUCACGGUAGACGCACCGCCUAGAGACCGAGAGAGGGAUGUGGAAUACCCGGUGGAGCGGUGAAAUGCGUAGAGAUCGGGUGGAACACCAGGGGCGAAGGCGGCAUCCUGGCUCGGACCUGACGCUGAGGCGCGAGAGCGUGGGGAGCAAACGGGAUUAGAUACCCCGGUAGUCC
rnacentral:rRNA from 1 species